AUGCUCUCGCUGCUCUGGGGCCAACGAUGAGGAAGAGACCACAGCAGCAUCUGGUCCUGGUCCUGCUCCACCACAAAAGAUCUGCAGCAAAUGCACAGAAAUCAACAAUAAGAAAAGUGCUGUUAUAACUCUUUGAAAUUACACUAAUUAAAAUGUUUCAUUUAUUUUUGUAGUGUACUUACACAAAUCCUUUGAUGGCAGCAUUCCUUCAUCAGUCACUCUACAGCAGAUAAACAUAAUCUGUUCCUGUAACAUCCAGACAAGAGUCAGUCUCCUCUGUGAUUUAUCUGUGAUAUACUGCAUCUGCAUGUUGAGUCAGUAAAUAAUGUAACUCGCUUUUUAUCCAACACAAAUGUUCCUAAAAUUAUCAAUAUUGCAAAUGGACAAAUAAAAUAGAUAACCUGUGUUUA